rnacentral:rRNA from 1 species
CUCAUAAAGUGCGUCGUAGUCCGGAUUGGAGUCUGCAACUCGACUCCAUGAAGUCGGAAUCGCUAGUAAUCGUAGAUCAGAAUGCUACGGUGAAUACGUUCCCGGGCCUUGUACACACCGCCCGUCACACCAUGGGAGUGGGUUGCAAAAGAAGUAGGUAGCUUAACCUUCGGGAGGGCGCUUACCACUUUGUGAUUCAUGACUGGGGUGAAGUCGUAACAAGGUAACCGUAGGGGAACCUGCGGUUGGAUCACCUCCUUA